AUACGGAGGGGGUUAGCGUUGUUCGGAAUUACUGGGCGUAAAGCGCACGUAGGCGGACUGGAAAGUUGGGGUGAAAUCCCGGGGCUCAACCCCGGAACUGCCUCCAAAACUUCCAAUCUAGAGAUCGAGAGAGGUGAGUGGAAUUCCAAGUGUAGAGGUGAAAUUCGUAGAUAUUUGGAGGAACACCAGUGGCGAAGGCGGCACACUGGCUCGAUACUGACGCUGAGGUGCGAAAGCGUGGGGAGCAAACAGGAUUAGAAACCCUAGUAGUCC
rnacentral:rRNA from 1 species